AGUCUCGGGGUGUCACACGUUAGAUUGCAAAUCUAAAGAAGUAGAUAAUCGUCUACCGGGGCUU
rnacentral:tRNA from 1 species